CAGGGUGUGAUAUAUUAGAUUUAGAUUCUAAGAAUAAGAAGUGAGAUCUUCUUACUUUGU
rnacentral:tRNA from 1 species